rnacentral:rRNA from 1 species
UCUAGCAUGUGCGCGAGUCAUUGGGACUCUAACUAAACCUAAAGGCGCAAUGAAAGUGAAGGUCCGCCGUGCGCGGACCGAGGGAGGAUGGACGGUCCCGAGGGACCGUCCCGCACUCCCGGGGCGUCUCGUUCUCAAUUACGAGAAGAGGCGCACCCAGAGCGUACACGCUGGGACCCGAAAGAUGGUGAACUAUGCCUGGUCAGGACGAAGUCAGGGGAAACCCUGAUGGAGGUCCGUAGCGAUUCUGACGUGCAAAUCGAUCGUCGGAACUGGGUAUAGGGGCGAAAGACUAAUCGAACCAUCUAGUAGCUGGUUCCCUCCGAAGUUUCCCUCAGGAUAGCUGGCGCUCGCUUCUCGCGAGUCUCAUUCGGUAAAGCGAAUGAUUAGAGGCAUUGGGGUCGAAACGGCCUCAACCUAUUCUCAAACUUUAAAUGGGUGAGAUCUCCGGCUUGCUUGAACUGUGAAGCCGCGAGAUAUCGGAUCAGAGUGCCAAGUGGGCCACUUUUGGUAAGCAGAACUGGCGCUGUGGGAUGAACCAAACGCCGAGUUAAAGCGCCUAAAUCGACGCUUAUGGGAUACCAUGAAAGGCGUUGGUAACUUAAGACAGCAGGACGGUGGCCAUGGAAGUCGGA